CCUGAAGGAUAUUUUUUCUGUCCUUGUUUCCUCCAGGGUGGAAACAAACUCUUUCAUGAGGAUUAAUUACUCUCCCCUGAGAUGCCGAGGGUCUCUGCUUCUCUUCAACAAGCUAAGUUAAUACAGCUGAUGCCCAGGUUGUAGCGGGACCUGAUAAAGCCUGGUUGCAGCUCCAGGGCCCGUGUGUAAGCCUCCACGGCCUCCUCACUCCGGUCCCCAUUUGCCAGCGUGGCCCCCAGGCGGUUCCACAGCAGGUAGUCCUGGAAGGAGGGUGAAUGGUGGAGAAGCAAUGUCAGAAGCUUUCUGCUCUGUCUGGACCCACAGCCAGGCUCAUUCUCUCUCGCCUGCUGCACUACUCUUACAACACUUCCGUCCACUUUAACUUGAGGCUGUAACUGAGGAUCGAUGGACAAAGAUUGACGCUUUAGUAGAGUCAACAGGAAAGACUCUUUUAUUACCAAAAUACAAAACUGUAGCCGUGUUUCCAUUGAAAUAAAAUCAAAGUAGUUUGAAGUAAAA